CAAUAGCGUAUAUUUAAGUUGUUGCAGUUAAAAAGCUCGUAGUUGGAUUUCGGAUGGGACUUGCCGGUCCGUCGUUUCGAUGUGCACUGGCCAGUCCUAUCUUGUUGUCGGGGACUAGCUCCUGGGCUUCACUGUCCGGGACUAGGAGCUGACGAGGUUACUUUGAGUAAAUUAGAGUGUUCAAAGCAAGCCUACGCUCUGAAUACAUUAGCAUGGAAUAACACGAUAGGACUCUGGCUUAUCUUGUUGGUCUGUGAGACCAGAGUAAUGAUUAAGAGGGACAGUCGGGGGCAUUCGUAUUUCAUUGUCAGAGGUGAAAUUCUUGGAUUUGUGAAAGACGAACUUCUGCGAAAGCAUUUGUCAAGGAUGUUUUCAUUAA
rnacentral:rRNA from 1 species